CCCCACAGGGAGCAGAGGGCACACAGGGGCACUGCACCAACAGCAGGGCACUGAAGGGGGCUGAAGGACACAGGAGCAGACAUUUGCAGCCUUCUGAAGUGCUCUGGUGUUACUCUAUGUGGGCAGAUGCCUGAAGCCUUCUGAUGAGAUGAUGAUGAAGAGCGUGAAGCAGCUGUCAGAUAUCUUAGCCCUGCUUAUCUGGAUUAGAAAACUUAUUGGGAGGCCUACUUUGCUUCAAACCUCGCUGACAGAACAUGGGACAAUGGGAAAGAGGGGUUUUUUCACCUUGUUUACCCUAGAAAUGUGAUUCCAAUAAUCACUGGAGACAAUGGAGGAAACAAGCACUGCUGACAGUGAUACUUCAAGACUUUUCCUGGAGCAGUCUGGAUUUUUUUUAGCUGAAGUAUUUUAUUUGGUGGCAGUAAUAUAAUGGGACCUUGAUGUGUUUUACAGUGUCCUGAACUCAGGAGUCUCCUAAAAGAGACCAUGACUUCUGUAAAACAGCCACUACUGUAUUUCAGUAACCUGGCCAUUCCCCACCAGAACCAGAGUUUUCUACUCAUUUUUCUUCUAAAGUUGAACAAUGAAGUUACCAAAAGUUUUGGGGUUUUUUUAGCACCUUCAACACAGAAUUAUAUCCAAUAAUGAGAUCUGAAGAACAAAGUGAGAAGGGCAGGAUUGGUCCAUUGGAUGGCAUCCAUGAAGAAGACUGAGUUCCCUGCUGGAAGGUGAUGAAACAUAUUUACACCAGCUCAGAGGACUUGAGAUGGUUCUUCUUGCUGCAGGCACAGCCCUUUGCUUCAGGCCCUUGGCAGGAGAUAUGUCCUGAGAAGCCCUGAGGACAUCAGGCUCCUGGGAGUUCACUGGAUAUAUGCUAUCCGAGUACCAUUCUUUUGGGAAAAAAAGGAAACCUUUUCCUGGAUCUGAAUUUUCAGUUACUGUUUGUUUGAAAAGCUCCUCUGAUUUCAGCAUUCUUACUCACGUAAGUACAGUUUUAUCCUGGAAAAUACCACUGUGUUCCAAGCAGUAACAGGAAUCAAGAACAAAGAUGAGAACAGGAUUUUUCUCCUGUGUGCUUGCUAAUUCUGUUCCAAACUCAUUUAGUAAUGUGGAAGAAAAUGUGAUUGCUUGUCAAAGCACAGAUGUGUUUUUUUGUUGGGACGGUGCACAGAGCAUUCACAAGUGUCAUGUUUAGCUGAGGGCAACAAUGCUUAGUGUCUCAGCACCCAACUCCCACUGAAUUUCAACAAGAGUGAGCAAACAACCUUCCCCUGGGCUCCAGUGAAAAUCCUUGGCUUACUAUCCAGUCUGAGCUGCAGUUUCACUCACAGGAAACAAGCGUUUUUUUUGAGGUCUUUUAAGGUAUUGUUUCCUGAAAUAGCAGAAGAUAAUUUGAGUACAUAGAGAGUACUGAAAAUCUGUUAGCAAAAUAUGUUAGUUUGAUAAAGAUUGUCAGGAUUAUUGAGUACAAUAAACCUUUCUAAAUCCAAGCCAUAAAGAAAAUAUAUAAUCAUUUACACGUGCCAAGAUACAAUUUUAUUGCUUCCCAGAUAACACUGCAUUUAGGCUUUUAUUUAACUAGAGGGUACUGUAAAAGCAAAACCAGUUCACUUUUAUGACAUUUGCCCUACUGUAUGUUAGGAGGAGAGGUAGGGAUUUUUCAGAGACGUUGCUGGCAAUGUCACAAGACGUGCACCCCAAAAGCUUAGUGGUGGUGCAAGCACAUGGAAUCUCUGUCAGACUCAGCAAUCUACAUUUAAUUAUCUUCAACUGCAAGAUGUAAAAUAUUCCAGAAUGGUUCUAUGAUUAUAAAAAUGACACUGUUCACAGAGCUCACAGUUCUGCACUGUCUCCUGAUGAUUUUCACAAAUAUGUUGAAUUGCUGAAGUGUCUCACAGCCUGGGAGUCUCAAAGCUCCCCUCUGGAUGGUUAUGGGACCAGGGUGUGAUGUUUUACACCAAACCUUCCAGGAACCUCCCAGAGAAGGCUGCUGUGGAGUCCUGAUCUCCCAGUGUUAGUGUCCAGAACAAAUUCUAGUUACAGCUACUACAUAUACUGCACUUCUUUUUGGCUUCUCUUUUUAUUUAAUGAGGUGACAAAGAACAGUUGGGGCUGUAUAUCCAGAUGCUUUUGGAAAUAACCAUCCCAGUGCUUUGGGAACUACUGGCUUUAGAGCUUGGUUUGUGUUUUCACAUCAUCUCUCUGCUAAUCUGUGUUACUGUUAUUGCACCUUCACAGUAUCAAAAAGAAGUGUUGAUUUUAUUGUGCUUCUUUUAAAAACCAGUACAGUUUUAAAACAACCAAACUUAGAGAAGCUGGUUAUAUAAAAAUAUACAAGUAACAACUCACAUUAUACAGUAAAAAAGAAAGCACCUGUGUGGAAAGCUUCCCCCCUUUUUUGGAAGGAGAGCUGUCUUUAGAGUUGCUUCAGUAACAUGUAUUUAUGGGUAUAUACACACAAACCCAGAACUUCAGCCACAAGAAUCUGUCCUCUUAGUGGCAGAGGAGACAGAAGGCCCAGAGGGGUGACAUGUCUCAUUCUUUCUCCAUCACAGAGCUGCUGCCAUUCACACUGUGUGAACAAGAGCAGGGCUGGGGCAAAGUGUGAAAAGCAGGAGGUCAAUUAUGCUCCAUGUGGCACAAUUCCUCGCAGGAAGCAGCAAGGCCAAGGGCCCACCAACAGUUGUACAUGACCCUGUUGUGGAAGGAGCAGCUGCCAGGCUGGACCCUGCAUCCCUGGCUGGGAAUGCCAGGGACAAGGCCACAGUGAGGCAGGAGCCACGGGGCUGCUGGACACUCCUGCAGCAGCACUGACCCAACUGGCACACAGAAACUGUGUGGAGACAAAGCUGGUAUCAAACUCUUCUCUGGGUAGAAAGGAGGCUCAAAGGGUUACCUCUAAACCAUUACAUGCUAUUAGAAAAGACAACUAAAUAACUUAAGUCUGUUUAAACAUUAGGGUUCUAAUCCUAGGUGCAUUUCACUAUGGUAAAAGUGGGUAUUUUAAGAAAAUACUUGGCUAUUAAAGAUCUUUGCAAUGUUUUUAGAAGUGCUUUUUCCAUUUCAGGGUCUAACCUAUUCAGAAAAGUUACCUUCUUAAUUUUUUCAAAAAUAAAACUGUAGUAAUUAUAUACUGUAUUUAACCAUGUGAAAGGAGUAAAAAGCUAUUUCUAUGUGGUUUCUGAGGUAAUAAGCUGGCAUGUUAAAAAUAAUAUUAAUACAAGUCAUUCAGUUGUGAGUGUCCCUUGCCCAUCUUCCCUCCAGGAGGGGAUGGACAUGGUGAUUUCAGUAAAGUGGAGAAAAGAUGUGUGGCCCACUGCAUCAUAGCUCAUCAUGGUUUCUGGUGAGGUCCUCCCCAUAAUUAGUAGCUUGACUUCCAACAAACAUAUUCCAGUUGUCUAGAACUUCCUCUUUUGUUAGUUUUUGAUCCUGGUAGAAGAAAAAGAAAACAAACCUCUGUAAGAAUAUUUUCAGAGCUGAGUCAAAGACACACCAACACAGACUUGCAAGAGCCCUGGGAAACAGUUCUUCACAGCAGCAGGCGGCAGGCUCAGCAAUCAUUUGUAGCUGUCACAGUGGGUGAAAUUUGGACCUCAGUGAAAGACAGAAGUCCCACAAGCUUCAGGUAGGUCAAACUGCAAACUGAAAGUCCUUUGUAAUGCCAAGCAGUAGGAACAGUAGGUUAACAGUGGACUACCUAGUACACAGUUUUGCCCAGUGGUUUGGUUCAUCUUCCUGACUGUAAAAACAAAAAUCCUCUGGUGCACUUUGUGGGAGGUGGUUGCUUAUGUUAGCAGUUUACACUUUCUGUGUUCAGAGUAUUUUGGCUUUCAGGUUCCAACUUUGCUUGCAUUACCCUUUUGAAGACCAUCUGGAAUAUACUGUGCCUCAUCAGAGCCAGUGUUUAAGUGAAAGGUGUGUGCUUGAACAUAGAACUGAGAGUGGUUUUGCUACCCCUACCUUUGAGUACAAGGGGUAUCUAAAUGUAAUUUUUUUUUCCUAUUUCAGUCUAUAUUAACAUGCAAAAGUAAUGACCACUCUUAAAGGAAAAAAGAGUAUUUUUGCUGUGUUGAAAUGUCCAGGUUUAAGAUGAUAGUUUCUCAUCAAACCUAAUGAAAGCCAGGAGACCCCUUCCAGAGCUGAUAAACUGUAUUUUACUACUUUGUAACUCUAACACUAUCAGCUGAAACCAGCAUGGAAACAUGAAUCCACUGGCAAUUCUCUAAAGAAAAGUUAUUAGAAAUAAAUUCUUGCAAGCUGGUAUUUUAAAAACCCACAAGACCUUGUAUAACUUCUUUAAAAACAAUACUGGAACACUACAUACCUUGUCUACAUCAGAUUCAUAGACUAAGUGCCUGGCUUCAGCUAGUGCAUGGUCAUAGUCCUGGGGGAGGAUCCAGUGCUGGAUCUCAUCUUUGUCCAUCUUUCCAUCCUUGUUGAGAUCACGAAAAUCUGAGAACUGCUCACGCUCUGUAACCACCCAGUCGGGCUCUGGUCCACCCUCUUCAUUUGCAAACAUAUCAGCUGGAGAGGAAAAAAAGGUCUUGCUUGAGUCCUAUUUACUUUGCAAAUUAAGCACAAACUAAAGAUAUUUUCACAGUGUUCCUCAGAGGGCACUGAACUUUUCACUCUUUGUACAGUGUCUCUGUACAGAACAAGAAAUGUGGGGUAUAGAUAGAGUAGCUGUAUCUUCUCCCAGGCCUAUUUCUUCACUGCUGGUGAUUCUGCCCAUUCUCACAGCACCCUCUAUCAUACCUGUGCAAUUCUGGUGGGGUGAACAGGAGAGCUCAAAGGCCAUCAUCUGAAUUUCAGAAUCAACAAAAUCCUCUAAGGAUCCUUGGCUGAACAGCAGUCUUAAGCUUUAGUGCUAGGCUUAGUCACAUGGGGAGAACUCAAGAACUCAGCCAUUUUAUCUUGUCCCUGCCAGAAAAUGUCUUUGUGGAUAAGAUCAGACUCCAGACAGCAGAGUGAUUACAGGAAAAAAGGCACAGGGGGAAUUUAGGCAAACAAAAAUUGCUAAAUGGAACUUUUCAUGCAUUUGUACUGCUUUUAGAGAAGUCUGUGUGAGAGACAUUCAUCUUAGCAGAUCAGUUCUCUUUUCACCAUGCAGUGCUGCAGCACAUUCCAGUAGAAGACACUCUUCCAGGAAGAAAGAGAUGGAGAAGUCACAAGUCAUGGACGUGUGAGGAGCCACAGGCACAGUGCACUUGUCACACACUGGUACCUGGGGAGGGAGCACUGUUUGUGACAGGCUGCAGAGAUUACACACACGAGCUGCUCUGCUCAUCACUCCUGUGCUACAUUUUGGGAGCACUGGUAGGACCACACCACGGUGGCAGUUGCUUUCUGCAUAACACAGGAGAGCAGCACUGAUUAUUAAAACCAACUGACUUCUACAUGUGCUUUACAUCACAGGCCUUUCCAAAUAAUGAGUGGUGUGUCUGUGUCAUUCUUCUGGUCACUGUGGCCAAUCCUUUCCUUCUCAUCUUAUUCCUCAAUAAUUCCUCAAUCAAUUCCUCAAUAUUCCUUCCACUCUUCUAUUUAGAAUUAAAGCCUGUUUUGUGAUACUGCUCCUCUCCUCUCCAGUGCCUUUUGUAUUUGGUUUUCAGGGAUGUGCUAAGGAAAAGUGUAGCCACGUGGAUGGUGUGAGGGUCAGAGGCUGGCUGGUAUCUGUGGGAAACAAAUGUUGAAUUCAAAGGCAGGAGUAACUCCCCUGACCCUGCAGUAUGUGUACAUUGGGCUGAGGUUCUCCAUUGUCACUGUCCCCAGUGUCCCUGAAAUAUUCUGUUACCUGCCCAUGCACAGUGAUAAUUUAGUUCUCUCUCCUCAACAUUGUUACAGGCACUUUGCUCCGCUGCUUGUGUAAAUCUAAACCAAAUUUUGCAAAAGACAAAAUGGGAGGAAAGAAGGGAAAGGAGGGUGGGAUCAUUCUAUAAGCUUCAGCAAAUCUCCCCAACAAAUGUUCCAUCUAGAAAACGAAAUUUUUGGACUUGUUUUUGUUGAUCCUUAUAAACUACUAAAGAAGAUAUUUCGUUUUCUGUUAGCUCCUUAAUCCCAACUUCAUCAAAAUUUCAAAAAACUACAUCUGAAAAAGGAAAGUAGGAAUAUUUUAAGCAUAGUUUUCUCAACUCAGGAAGAUAACUUCAGACAACACAUUCACUUUCUUUUUUCAUUUUUUAAAGUGCAAAUUAUAUUGUUUAUUUGAAGCAACUGACAUGUCCUGUCAAUUUGAUUUUUAUCAUCCUUGCCAAUGUGGGGUAAUCGUGACUAGAACAUUCUAUGUUCCUAUCUAUAGAAGACAAGAAAAACCAGCAUUCACAUGGUAACAAAUGUUGACAAUUACCUUAUAAUUAUAUGUAGGUAAUGUCACUGAAUGAACUGAAAUUACUGUGGAAAUUAUGCUGCUCUGUUAUUUCAGUCAUAGAUGAAUAGCAUUCACUUUCUGGGCUAAAUAUAAUUUACAAGGAACAGAACCCCCUGCCAUUAAUUAGCGUGUGUAUAUUGUUCCUGAUUCUAUGUGAAGUGAUCUUUAUAGCACCACUAGAAACAGAAAGCUUCAUCCAACUUUGCACUAAUGCCUUCUUAGUGCUACUUUCUGGAUUUAAAACUCAUCAAAAUAUAAUGGUAUCAUCAGUACAAAAGUAUGGGCUUUACUUACUAAUUAAACUAGGGAAAAAAACCUAGUAGGAACAAGGUGAACUUUCUCUUUUUGCAAUGAAUGGUUGCUUCCCAGGUGUUUUGGAUAUUUGAGAACCAUCCAAAACCAGUUAUUUGGAAAAAGAUUAUUGCAUUUUCUGACCCUCCUGCAUUUCUAAACAAUGCCUUCAAACAGCAGUUGAUAUGGUGCAAUAUACAAAGAAUACCCCUGCCAUGAAGAAUAUUAUUCCAGAUUCUCUUCUUUUGUUCUCAUAUAACUCUUAGCUGAGUUAAAUAAGAACAAGAGGAGAAUUUUGUGCUGGGAAGCAUGAGGAACUCUUCCUGGUCAUGUUGCUAUCUACCUAAAAUGAAACUAAACUUUCUGGGUUGGAUGGUUGGUAUAAAACAGUUGAAGUGUUUGCUCUGGGUUGUUAAUGCUGCUGCAAACUUGAGAGAAGAUGGGAAAAUGGACUGGAGAUUAUAUAGGAAACAAGUAACACCACCUACCAAUGUACUCAUCUUGAUCCACAAAACCAUCCUCGUUUUUGUCUAUGUCUUCUAAGGUUUCCUGGAAAACAAUUUUGCAUUAAAGUAAUCAAAAAAAAAAAAACAAACUGAGAGCUCUGACUACCUGCCUUUGAUCAUUCAGCAUUCUGAGGCCUUGAUCUGCCCCUGUACACAAGCGAAUGUAGUCUCACUGAAUCCAGUGGGACUGUUGGUUACACAGUGAAUAUACAAAUAGCCUUUCAUGUUGAAAAAAAUCCCCUGUAUGAAUGAACUGCUUACGUUAGGGGCAGAUACCAGCUUGCAUGAAACACUCAGCUGCUGCAUCUCAGCACAGCAGCAGCUCCUUUUAUUCUGGUUUAAGUCUGUGCCCCAAGAUUGUUUCUUGAUUCCAUUUAGGAGCUGUCUAAGCGCACUUUAAAAGCCUUUCUUAUGUUGAGACUUCUAAACCAAGUGAGUAUCAUGAAAGGCACCCCCAUCUGUUCCCCACUUAGCUAUUAUGUGUGUCUCUCUCUCUAAACCCUGCCUGGAAAGGUGAGAGAAGCCUUCAAAGUUCACCUAUGAAAGUGCAAACAAUGGCAUUGAUUCUGCUUUGCUUACUAAGACAACAAUGUUUUUCAUAUGCUCAAACUCCUCUGGGUGCAGGAAAGCAGUGAACUCUUCACGAGUGGCAGCCAAGUCUCCAUCCAGAUCUGCAGUUUUGAAUCGUCUUUCAUCUCUGGGCAGCAUUUUCUUAAAACUGUGCUGAUCAGUUGCAUCUUGGAAUUCUUCUGGAUUUUCUGCAAACGAAUCAAGACGAUCUCAGAGGUGCUUUCCUUUAAAACAUACUAGCAAAACAAAGCUGUUGGAGUCAAGAAAUAAAAAGGUUUAUUGCCAGAAUAGCUGUUGUUCUAAAUGGGAAUUCUCUUCCCCAUGAAGUUUUAAAUUCAGGGGUCAAACACUUGGUUUGAUUUUUAAAGGUGACAGUAGCAGGAGGUAAAUUUCUGAGCAAGCCUUCUGUUGCAAUCCAGAAUAAUGGAUUUUGCAUUAUUGUAGAUUAUCCCUCACAGAUUUUAUCUGCCUUUACAAGCACCACUGAGGCAAUAUUUGGGGUAGACUUCAUUCACAGAAGUUUUCUUCUUCUUUAGGAAUCAAUAUGAUCCACACAACUUUUCAGUUUCAAGAAGAGCAAACCAAGGAAACACGGUUUCAGAAGGUGGCAGACUGACUGAAAUUAUCUCAGCGCUACGCCUCUGCUACAGGGAACCUAACAAUUAUUUUCAGUUUGAAACAAUGGCAUUUUUUCAGAGUGUUCAGUGGCAUAAAAGGAAUGGUAUUUGAUAUAAUUUUUUUAAUAGGAUCAUUAAACUGACUUUAAAAAUGAAAAAUACUCAUAACAAUUUCACAAUUGAUGUGUUGGGAGACAAACACAGGUGAAAAAGACUGGGCCAGGAAUUACAAAUGGGAAUUUUAAGUAUCCAUUAACACAAGCUCACCAUGCUGCUCUCCAAAUCUUGGGGCUUGGAGGGAGCAAAGACAAAGGACUGAGAAGGGUUCCAGGGAUAAUUCUGCAGGGACUGCGUGUCAAACAUUUCCUCCCACAAAUGUAACAAACUCCAUUUAAAUCGAAGGUAGACUUUGGAAUUAUUACUGCUACAGGAAGCUUGCUCUAGAAACUGCCUCUGUGGUAGGUUGUGCCUCCUGUUCUUCACUGCCUACAAGGAGUGGCUGUGCUGGCUCAGAGCAGGAGACACCAACUUCACUCCAGGACAAAGCCUGUACUCAAACUUGCUGGAGGCAACCAGGGCAAAAAUCCAGGACUUAGUGGACACCUGCAGUCUCUCCUUUGGCUUUCCAGCAAGCUGACACCAGGGUGAAGUGAGCAUAUGAGUGUGUAAUGCUGGGGAUGUACACCAUCUCCCCUUCCAUGCCUGUCCCUCCACUUGUUUCUUUUCUUUCAUUCCCAACGGAAACCAGUACUGCUGGUGUUGCCAGGAAUGCCUGUUACUCACUAAAGCAGUAUCAAGUCUGCAGCAGGUCUCCAGCCAUUGCUGGCAGCUGGGCUAUAAACCUCUGUCCAGUGUAAAGCUGCCAGCACUGUUGAAAUCAGCAGGAGUGAAACAUUCUGCACACAGCUGCAGUUCAAAAAAAAAAAAAAAAAAAGGACAAUGCUCUCUGUACCAUUUAUUUCUCUGCAACUAAUCUCUCUGCAAUUGAUAAACUCCACCAUUCUGGGGCUGAGCUUGUAAAACUGCUUUCUGUGCCUGCUCUUGGAAUUGAGCACAUCCACCUUGGCUCUGGGCACAUCAGCACCCUCCACCUUGCCCAUGAGGUGCAGGGGCAGCCUGUCUGCAGUCCCCUGUGCCUCAUCCAGUGGCCAGCUCAUGCCAUGCCUAUGGAUAUGCCACUGGAAUGCGGGGGAAGGAAGAGCAGGAGCUGACUUGUCUAAAUCCUGACUUGACACUCAACAGGUGAGCUUCCUAAACCUCAGGGGAAAAGAUCUGCACUUCUAAACAUUCUUUUCAAUUCCACAUCUUGGUUCUCCACAAAGAAACCACAUUUGGCCAACUGGAACUGCCCGAGUAGUGAAGCAAUGUCUCUGCCCAAGCCUUUGUUACAAAAGUGGUUGCUGAAAUAGCAGCAGCAGCUUCUUUCUGCUAAACUUCCAGCAAUCUUGUGUGAGUCUGAUAGUAUCAGAUUCAAUUUACGAACAUGCUGUUUCUGAGUUAUGGGGUAAAAAAGGGGCUGCUGAAUUUCCUUUCUGAAUUAGUGUGUGGAUUAACUGACAAGAAAACCUUUUCUCUUCUGUAUCCAUUGGUUGCCAGUGGUCCCUUUCCCUGCAUGAUGGACUCCAUUUGUCACCAGAUUUUCCCCACAAUGAAUUUAAUUUCAUUUCUUUAACUGGUAUUUUUUUUCUACCAUUAAGGUAUCAAAAGAUUAUGCUGGUCACUCUUGGCAAUGUGCAAUGUGAAAAAAGUCAGGACUGUGUAACAGAAAAUGUUUCAGGCCUUCUCCUUUUCACCUGUUUUUAUAGGUCCAGUGCAUCUAUGUGCACUGUUCCACCCCACUUCUCAGCUGAAGAUGAGGACAAUAAAACAGUCUUAUCUACAGGCUCCCAAAGGCACAAGUAAAAAGCUGUUGUGUGGACCUCACUUUUUACUGUUAUUAUUGGGAUGACCAGUGUGCUGCCACGUUUCCUAAGCAAGGUAAAAUGCCUUAUAAAUAGAGCAGCAUGCACUCUUGUUAGAGCAGCAGACUGUAUGUUUGUUUUCUCACAGUAGUCAUUUCAAAAUCACUUUUAAGAAGCAUAUGACUAUUAAGCCACAAGAUGUUUUUUUAAUCCUCUCUUUACCUCCCAGUGUGCUGCUAUCCAAAAUUACAAGGUUGGGGAAUGCUGGAAGUUGUGAAACUUUCCCAAAGGCCCCCACAGGAGCCACAUCCCUGAUGCUGAGAUGCACAGUGCUCACCCCACAGCCUGUCCUCAGAGGGCCACUUCACUUUACCAUUUAAAAGGUAAUUAUUGACUGUGGCUGUACUUAAUGUGCCUGUGUCAUCCCUCCAAAGGGCAAUCAGUGACAUCAAUGAAGUCACAACUUCUUCCCUUGCUGAGUUAGCAUUUGUAAAAAUUGUUUAAAAGCACCUGUACUGUUAAAUCAUAUCCCUGACUGAAUAAUCUGUGCUAGUAAAUACAGACCAAUAUUAGGAGGGCAUGUCCAUUUUGGUGACACAACUCAUGAGAAUCUAGGUCAUAGCCAUGUAUGCUGAGAACAUGGUUUCUUUUGCUCCUUCUUGAAACAGUGAGGAUGGAGUCGACCAUUUCUGGCAAUCACUUCAUCUGUUUACUCACUGAGACACGCAGUGACAGCUCUGAGAAGGAUCAAGAGGUUACUCAGUGAGGCUGCAGUGCUACUGCUAAUGCUAGGACCAGACAGAAAAUUAGCAAGUGCCACUCCCUAUGGAAGGGAAGGCAGGGGGGAAUCUUAGUGAUUCAUGCAGAUAUUUUAAACAACCUUCUUCAUGCUAACUACAUUCAAGGAUCUUUCUUUAACUCCUAUUAAAUUUAGUUCAGCUUAGUGAUCUGGCUCCCUGUUGGUGUAAAGGAGGGAGAAGCAGUAAAGGAAGACACGGUCCCUGCGCUUUGCAUAAAGAGCAGCGUGGAAGUAAUAGCAACUGAAACACUGUGAGUGAAGAAGUCACAAGUGGGAAGAUGCUGCAAGUGGACUUGUAAACGUAGCUGUAGAGAAGGAAUGGUUGAAACUCGAUUGACACUGAUGUGGUGUGGGCAAGUGUCCCGGAGGCAGGGAGCCACAGCAGCACAGCCCUCCAGCAGCAGGUCCAGCAGCUCCCUCUGCCAGCCUCAUUGCUGCGAGGCAGAAGAGGCAGGAGGGGAAAACACCAGAGCAUGAAUUGCUGGCUGCUCCUUUGCAAAACCAGCGGGGUGCGAGAGAAGUUGAAACCCAGAGGUUCGACCCGCAGGCUACUUUGGGCUACAGGGUCCCACUCGGGGGUACAGAGCAUCACAGUGGGGU